UACAGAGGGUGCAAGCGUUAAUCGGAAUUACUGGGCGUAAAGCGUGCGUAGACGGUUAUGUAAGUCGGGUGUGAAAGCCCCGGGCUCAACCUGGGAAUGCCAUUCGAGACUGCAUAGCUAGGGUACGGAAGAGGGAAGCGGAAUUUCAGGUGUAGCGGUGAAAUGCGUAGAUAUCUGAAGGAACACCAGUGGCGAAAGCGGCUUCCUGGUCCAGUACCGACGUUCAGGCACGAAAGCGUGGGGAGCAAACAGG
rnacentral:rRNA from 1 species